rnacentral:rRNA from 1 species
GACAGAGGGUGCAAACGUUGUUCGGAAUUACUGGGCGUAAAGCGUGUGUAGGCGGCUUUGUAAGUCGGAUGUGAAAGCCCCGGGCUCAACCCGGGAAGUGCACUCGAUACUGCGAAGCUUGAGUACUGGAGAGGUUGGUGGAAUUCUCGGUGUAGAGGUGAAAUUCGUAGAUAUCGAGAGGAACACCGGUGGCGAAGGCGGCCAACUGGACAGAUACUGACGCUGAGGCACGAAAGCGUGGGUAGCAAACAGG